CGGAGGGUGCAAGUGUUAUCCGGAUUUACUGGGUUUAAAGGGAGCGUAGGUGGGUCGGUAAGUCAGUGGUGAAAUCUUCGAGCUUAACUCGGAAACUGCCAUUGAUACUAUCGAUCUUGAAUUAUCUGGAGGUAAGCGGAAUAUGUCAUGUAGCGGUGAAAUGCUUAGAUAUGACAUAGAACACCCAUUGCGAAGGCAGCUUACUACGGAUAUAUUGACACUGAGGCUCGAAAGCGUGGGGAUCAAACAGGAUUAGAUACCCUGGUAGUCCACGCCCUAAACGAUGGAUACUCGACAUCAGCGAUACACUGUUGGUGUCUGAGCGAAAGCAUUAAGUAUCCCACCUGGGAAGUACGACCGCAAGGUUG
rnacentral:rRNA from 1 species